rnacentral:rRNA from 1 species
ACGGAAGGCAGCAGUAGGGAAUCUUCCACAAUGGGCGAAAGCCUGGUGGAGCAACGCCGCGUGUGUGAUGAAGGGUUUCGGCUCGUAAAAUACUGUUGUAAGAGAAGAAUGACAUUGCGAGUAACUGUUCAAUGUGUGACGGUAUCUUACCAGAAAGGAACGGCUAAAUACGUGCCAGCAGCCGCGGUAAUACGUAUGUUCCAAGCGUUAUCCGGAUUUAUUGGGCGUAAAGCGAGCGCAGACGGUUAUUUAAGUCUGAAGUGAAAGCCCUCAGCUCAACUGAGGAAUUGCUUUGGAAACUGGAUGACUUGAGUGCAGGAGAGGAAAGUGGAACUCCAUGUGUAGCGGUGAAAUGCGUAGAUAUAUGGAAGAACACCAGUGGCGAAGGCGGCUUUCUGGACUGUAACUGACGUUGAGGCUCGAAAGUGUGGGUAGCAAACAGGAUUAGAUACCCUGGUA